UCAAAAAAAUAAAUAAAAUAUAUGUUCCACCUUCAAUCAUACAAAGAAAAAUACAAAUUAAAGCUAUGAUAAGCAUUUCUCAACAAAAUCCAAAAGCUAUACAAUAUACCCUGUGUAGACUGUGGGGAAACAGGCACUUUGCACUUUGAUACAUUGCUGGUUACAAAAGCAUAAAUUGCAUGAGAGGGAAUAGUCAAAGGGAGGUUAGUCACAGCAGCAUAUUACUUGCAUUUGCAAAAGGUUGGAAAUUAACCAAAAUGCCCCUUAAUAGAUAACUGGUUGUAUAAACUAAGGUGCGUCCAGACAGUACAACAUUCUCCAGGUAGAUGGUGCCCCUUCCAAGACACUCUCUUUCUAUAGAGGUCAUAAUAGAGAAUGGAGAAAGUCUCUAUGUACCAAUAGAGAAUGAUCUGCAGAAUACAUUAGGGAGUGGAAAAAACAAAGGCGUGGAAUACUAUGCGAUCUAUCUGCAGAAGGAAGGAGCAGGGUAAAGGUGCCAACGAUGGAAGAGAUAAGAAACAACUACAGAAGUUGUUUCUAUAGUUUUGAUCCUAGAAUCAUCAUGUAUUUCCACAUAUUCAAAAGUGGGAUUAAAUAAAAAGGUAGAAUGAAAAAAAAUCUGAAAAGGAGCUGAAACAAGUUUACACAACUAUAUCAUGUUUUGAUGACAUAACCACACACAAAAAGGAACAAAUUCCAGUGACUUUAGAAUAUAGCUUUUCAAAUGUACUUUCUUGGUGGGAUAUAUUCAGUAGUAGUAGUAUUGAUGUGCUGCUAUUUUGAAAGUAUUAAGUGUUGCAAAAUCUUUUUGUUUUUAUUUUUAUUUAUUUUAUUUUAUUUUUGUGGAGAUGAGGUCUCACUAUAUUGCUCAGGCUGAUCUCAAACUCCCAGGCUCAAGCGAUCCUUCUGCCUCAGCCUCCCAAAGUGCUGGGAUUACAGUUGUGAGCCAAAUAUGCCUGGCCUAUAAUGUUGAUAAUUGUUGGACAGAACUAUAGAAUUAAUCAAGGCUAUAACGAUAUCCAUCAAAUAUUGAGAAGAAAGAAUAUCAAGAGCAAAGUUUUCUAUUUAAGGCUGUUAAGUUGCUACUCGGAAUGUAAAGAUGCAGACCACAAAUCAGUGGUUUAUUCGUUCUUCAUGCAAUGCACUAAAGGAGAGAAGUAAGCUGUGGUGAUCAGUGACUUUGGUGAAGGCUAAGAAGGUUGAAACAAAUUUGCAAAUGAUGUACGACUUCUAAGGUAAGCUACUAUGAUGAUUCAAUCAAGAUUUUAAAUGCUCUUGACAGACUUGUAGACUAUACCCAACAUAUCAAAAUAAAAUGUAUCAGGAAUAAAUAUAAUAUUCUAUUUAAAUUUUAUAAAGCAGUUACAGAAGUAAUAGACUGAUUUGUAGCAAUAUGAUAGACAAGAGAGCCUAAAUUCCUCCCUCCACCAAACAUUUAAAGUACUGGAUUCAGUAUAAAAAGUAUCCUUUAACAUGAAUGUAUGAGCCUAUUAAGAAAAUAAGUUAAACUUUCUGGGGCUAGAAACAGAACAAGUAUAACAUAUCCUGUGAGAAAAUAGGUGCUGAAGUCACUGAAUGCUUUGGGAGCAUCCAUGGAUUUCUGUUAGCACAGAAGCUUUGUUUAAGGAGCAGAAUGAGGACUAGAGAAAAAGAUCCCUGGGUCCCAUAUAAAGGUAAGAAGCCUGAUUAGAGACCAUGUUGCAAAAAUAUUCAGCUCUGGGUAGACUUAAAAUCUUCCCUAAUAAUUCCUGGUUAUCAGCUCACAUUCUCCUGAAUUUGAGGCCUAAUUUAUACAAUUUUUAUAGUUUCUAAAACUCCAGAAGUGGAGGAUUUAAAUUCAAAAUGGGCCUAAGUCUGUAAUACUCUUAGGUUACCUGGUAAAAACAAUAGAAAAUCCUGCAUGGAGGAAUGCAUUGAUUAAAUAAUUGUAGUUAAAAUUCUAACAAAUAAGCUCAUACACAUAUUUUAAAACUACAAAAUGUAGCAAGGGGGGAAAAAUUCAAAACACUAAAAGCAAGAGUCAGCAUAAACAGCAAACAACUGAAAGAGAUCUAUAGAUAUUUCAACUAUUAGAAAUAUACAGUACAUGAAAUAAAUAUGUUUAUGGCCAGGUGCAGUA